rnacentral:rRNA from 1 species
ACGGGGCGCAGCAGUGGGGAAUCUUCCACAAUGGGCGAAAGCCUGAUGGAGCGACGCCGCGUGAGCGAAGAAGGCCUUCGGGUUGUAAAGCUCUGUCUGGAGGGACGAAGGAAGUGACGGUACCUCCGGAGGAAGCCACGGCUAACUACGUGCCAGCAGCCGCGGUAAUACGUAGGUGGCGAGCGUUGUCCGGAAUUACUGGGCGUAAAGGGCGCGCAGGCGGCGUGUCAAGUCGGACGUGAAAACCCCUGGCUCAACUGGGGGAUGUCGUUCGAAACUGGCAUGCUUGAGUGCAGGAGAGGGAAGCGGAAUUCCCGGUGUAGCGGUGUAAUGCGUAGAUAUCGGGAGGAACACCAGUGGCGAAGGCGGCUUCCUGGACUGCUACUGACGCUGAGGCGCGAAAGCUGGGGGAGCGAACAGGAUUAGAUACCCUGGUAGUCCCAGCCGUAAACGAUGAACACUAGGUGUGGGAGGUAUCGACCCCUUCCGCGCCGCAGCUAACGCAAUAAGUGUUCCGCCUGGGGAGUACGGCCGCAAGGCUAAAACUCAAAGGAAUUGGCGGGGGAGCACA